AAGGAUCAUUCAUAAUAAGUGUUUUAUGGCACUUUUUAAGUCCAUAUCCACCUUGUGUGCAAUGUCAGUCGAUCUUCUUCAUGGAGAUCGACCAAACAUCAACCUUUAUUUUUUAACUCUUUGUCUGAAAAAUAUUAUGAAUAAACAAUUCAAAAUACAACUUUCAACAACGGAUCUCUUGGCUCUCGCAUCGAUGAAGAACGCAGCGAAAUGCGAUACGUAAUGUGAAUUGCAGAAUUCAGUGAAUCAUCGAAUCUUUGAACGCAUAUUGCGCUCUUUGGUAUUCCGAAGAGCAUGCUUGUUUGAGUAUCAGUAAACACCUCAAAGCUUUUGGAUUUUUUAAUCGAAAAGCUUUGGACUUGAGCAAUCCCAACACCAAUCUUUUUGAGAUCGGUGGCGGGUUGCUUGAAAUGCAGGUGCAGCUGGACAUUCUCCUGAGCUAAAAGCAUAUUCAUUUAGUCCCGUCAAACGGAUUAUUACUUUUGCUGCAGCUAACAUAAAGGGAGUUUGACCGUAUUGGCUGACUGAUGCAGGGUUUCACAAGGGUCGGCAACGAUUCUUGUUAAACUCGAUCUCAAAUCAAGUAAGACUACCCGCUGAACUUAA
rnacentral:rRNA from 1 species